UGCAGUCGAGGGGUAACAGGGGAGCUUGCUUCCGCUGACGACCGGCGCACGGGUGCGUAACGCGUAUACAAUCUACCUUUUGCUGUGGGAUAGCCUUUGGAAACGAAGAUUAAUACCGCAUAGUAUGCAGACUUCUCAUGAAGAUUGCAUUAAAGGUUACGGCAAAAGAUGAGUAUGCGUCCUAUUAGCUAGUUGGUGUGGUAACGGCACACCAAGGCCACGAUAGGUAGGGGCCCUGAGAGGGGGAUCCCCCACACUGGUACUGAGACACGGACCAGACUCCUACGGGAGGCAGCAGUGAGGAAUAUUGGACAAUGGAGGCAACUCUGAUCCAGCCAUGCCGCGUGCAGGAAGACUGCCCUAUGGGUUGUAAACUGCUUUUAUACGGGAAGAAACACUGCUACGUGUAGCAGCUUGACGGUACCGUAAGAAUAAGGAUCGGCUAACUCCGUGCCAGCAGCCGCGGUAAUACGGAGGAUCCAAGCGUUAUCCGGAAUCAUUGGGUUUAAAGGGUCCGUAGGUGGAUGAUUAAGUCAGAGGUGAAAGUCUGCAGCUCAACUGUAGAAUUGCCUUUGAUACUGGUUAUCUUGAAUUAUUAUGAAGUAGUUAGAAUAUGUAGUGUAGCGGUGAAAUGCAUAGAUAUUACAUAGAAUACCAAUUGCGAAGGCAGAUUACUAAUAAUCAAUUGACACUGAUGGACGAAAGCGUGGGGAGCGAACAGGAUUAGAUACCCUGGUAGUCCACGCCGUAAACGAUGGAUACUAGCUGUUCGGAUUUAUCUGAGUGGCUAAGCGAAAGUGAUAAGUAUCCCACCUGGGGAGUACGUUCGCAAGAAUGAAACUCAAAGGAAUUGACGGGGGCCCGCACAAGCGGUGGAGCAUGUGGUUUAAUUCGAUGAUACGCGAGGAACCUUACCAGGCUUAAAUGUAGAUUGACAGGUUUAGAGAUAGACUUUUCUUCGGACAUUUACAAGGUGCUGCAUGG
rnacentral:rRNA from 1 species